rnacentral:rRNA from 1 species
GAUGAACGCUAGCGAUAGGCUUAACACAUGCAAGUCGAGGGGCAGCACGAGAGUAGCAAUACGAUUGGUGGCGACCGGCGCACGGGUGCGUAACACGUAUGUAACUUGCCCAUUACUGGGGGAUAACCCGGAGAAAUUCGGAUUAAUACCCCAUAGUAUAAUGAGGUGGCAUCACUUUAUUAUUAAAGAUUUAUUGGUAAUGGAUAGGCAUGCGUAUGAUUAGUUAGUUGGUGAGGUAACGGCUCACCAAGACUUCGAUCAUUAGGGGUUCUGAGAGGAAGGUCCCCCACACUGGAACUGAGACACGGUCCAGACUCCUACGGGAGGCAGCAGUGAGGAAUAUUGGUCAAUGGGCGCAAGCCUGAACCAGCCAAGUAGCGUGAAGGAUGACUGCCCUAUGGGUUGUAAACUUCUUUUAUAUGGGAACAAAUGUUGGUACGUGUACUAAUUUGCGUGUACCAUAUGAAUAAGCAUCGGCUAACUCCGUGCCAGCCGCCGCCGUAACAC